UACGUAGGGGGCUAGCGUUGUCCGGAAUCAUUGGGCGUAAAGCGUGCGUAGGCGGUUGGCCAAGUCAGCUGUGAAAGCCCCGGGCUUAACCUGGGAAUGGCGGUUGAAACUAGUCGACUAGAAUCUGGCAGAGGGGGGUGGAAUUCCACGUGUAGCAGUGAAAUGCGUAGAGAUGUGGAGGAACACCGAUGGCGAAGGCAGCCCCCUGGGCUGAGAUUGACGCUCAGGCACGAAAGCGUGGGGAGCAAACAGG
rnacentral:rRNA from 1 species